rnacentral:ncRNA from 1 species
UGAUAGCUGAGAAGCGUGAGGUUGCUGCCAAAAAGGCAGGUUUUCCGUGGAGCGAAUGUCAAGUUAGGAAACUGACGACAA